GAUGAACGCUGGCGGCGUGCCUAAUACAUGCAAGUCGAGCGAAUGGAUUGAGAGCUUGCUCUUAUGAAGUUAGCGGCGGACGGGUGAGUAACACGUGGGUAACCUGCCCAUAAGACUGGGAUAACUCCGGGAAACCGGGGCUAAUACCGGAUAGCAUUUUGAACCGCAUGGUUCGAAAUUGAAAGGCGGCUUCGGCUGUCACUUAUGGAUGGACCCGCGUCGCAUUAGCUAGUUGGUGAGGUAACGGCUCACCAAGGCAACGAUGCGUAGCCGACCCGGGGGGGUGAUCGGCCACACUGGGACUGAGACACGGCCCAGACUCCUACGGGAGGCAGCAGUAGGGAAUCUUCCGCAAUGGACGAAAGUCUGACGGAGCAACGCCGCGUGAGUGAUGAAGGCUUUCGGGUCGUAAAACUCUGUCGUUAGGGAAGAACAAGUGCUAGUUGAAUAAGCUGGCACCUUGACGGUACCUAACCAGAAAGCCACGGCUAACUACGUGCCAGCAGCCGCGGUAA
rnacentral:rRNA from 1 species